GGGAACCUGAGCCAGCGACGCCGCGUGAGGGAAGAAGGCCCUUGGGUCGUAAACCUCUUUUGCCAGGGAAGAAGGGGGGUCCCUGUGACAGGGGGCUCUCUUGACGGUACCUGGCGAAUAAGCCCCGGCUAACUACGUGCCAGCAGCCGCGGUAAUACGUAGGGGGCGAGCGUUGUCCGGAUUUACUGGGCGUAAAGAGCGCGUAGGCGGUCUGAAGAGUCGGCUGUGAAAUCUCUGGGCCCAACCCAGAGGGGUCGGCCGAGACCUUUGGACUCGAGGGUGGUAGAGGAAGGUGGAAUUCCGGGUGUAGUGGUGAAAUGCGUAGAGAUCCGGAGGAACACCAGUGGCGAAGGCGGCCUUCUGGGCCACACCUGACGCUGAGGCGCGAAAGCGUGGGGAGCGAACCGAAUUAGAUACUCGGGUAGUCCACGCCCUAAACGAUGGACGCUAGGUGUCGGGGGUAUCGACCCCCCGGUGCCCGAGCGAACGCAGUAAGCGUCCCGCCUGGGGAGUACGGCCGCAAGGCUA
rnacentral:rRNA from 1 species